rnacentral:tRNA from 1 species
GCGGGGGUGCUGGAGUGGUCAAACAGGCAGGGCUUAGGACCCUGUGGCGCAGGCCUACGCGAGUUCGAACCUCGUCCCCCGCA